rnacentral:tRNA from 1 species
UUGCCCCGUGGUGAAAUUGGAUAUCACACUGCCCUUUGGAGGCAAGGUUUCUGGUUCAAGCCCAGACGGGGCAGU